rnacentral:sRNA from 1 species
UUAAACCACCAGCAAUCUAGGCAGCAAAAACCUUGUAUUCCUUUGCCUGAUUGGCCCUUGGGCCGUGUUAUGGAGGAAGGUCCCUGCUCAUCUGGGCCUGGAGGCUCUACACCCAGCAGGGCACUUGCUGUAGUUUGGGAAAAGGGAUUGGGCUUCAGUCUUCAGAAUGGAUGGAAGCUGCAAAGAAGAGUGAAUUUAAAUCACAGCAGAAUCAGUCCAGUCUCUGCCAAACCCAGAUUCUAAUUCAGGAGCCUGAACCACAGCAGGAGAAACUAAGUAAUUCUCCUGGUGUAGACACUGAACCUCCCACCAGCCCUGCUCCUAUUCGACAUUUAUUUACAGAAGAGACCUUUAACUUGAAAGGCUGAUUUUAUGACAAAUUCCGCCUUUCUGAGAAGGAUCAACUUCUCAUUUCGAUCAUGAAGAUCAGCAUCGAUAGUGUCCCAGGAGAAACCAUCAACAGGGUAAAGCAAAUGUCUUGAGGCAAGAUCCUGCCUCCCAGAGCAGGGACCAGCUUCUCUUCAGAAAGGAGCUGUGCACCUGAACAAUGGAGCCUUCCUGAGACCACACUUGUAGAUGCUAAACUGGGCUGGACCAGAUCAGGGACCCUGGAGUGCACUAGAGCCUGUAAAGAAGUCUCUGGAUACAAAACUCUAUCUUCUUCCCUGAGAUAUUAUCGACAGCAUAUAUCUGGAAGAAGCAGAGAGUAGCAUUGUGUUUUUUUGCAUACAGCCAGCCCCAAGAAGUCUCCAAGUUAGUCUUUCAAAUGAUUCUAAAAUUACGAACUGAGCAUUUUCUAGACUCUGAAUGUUACCAUGUUCGGGAAUUGUGUCUUUUGACAUUAGGACAAUAAAAAUACAGUUUAAUAUAUAGAUAUUUGAUAAACACCUAUUUUCCUAUCCUGUAUUUUAUAGCCUUGAUUAAAACACUCAUAUAAAUUAUCUGUGUGUUGUACUAGGUCCAGGGGUCAGAAAGUCUGCUUAGGGAUCUGCAGGUACCAGCACACAUUUGCUUCACAGACACACAUGCAUGCAACAGAGCAGUAUGCAGUAAUUAAAGAAAUAAGUCAAGUUACAGUACUCUUGCAGGGGAUAGACAGGCUCAGUACUAAAUCAGUUAAAGUACUAAUCACUUUUGCAAAUCACACACAUGGAUACUCACCACAUUUCAGAGUGUCUGAUGCACUCUUGUGGGCUCUGUGGGCACCA